rnacentral:lncRNA from 1 species
UGAGAUAAACACAACGACAAAUAUCAAUCAAUGUGGGCCUGGGACCAUCAAAGUUUUUCCGAGUACGAUCAUAUCAUUGCAGUGCUCAUAAACUCCAUUGGAAGUGUACAAGAUUUAAGGGUCCUUAUCCAUCUUCCCUCAAUUGUACGCAAUCAGGAAAAUUUAAUCCAUCUGGGAGAUAUGACACGGAUGCACUUAGGGGUAUAAGGGGAUUAAUCCACUUACCUAAAUAUAGGCUAAUUAAAUAGACACAUCAGUCGAUACACUUGAGCAUCUAAAUAUAACCAUUAUCCAUACCAUGAUAAGAUUAUUUUUUUAUAAGAACACGGUACAACGCAGACGCUCAUAACGCACGCACACUCUCCCCUAAGAACGCACGCGCGCAAAUCCCCUAUGGGCCAGCAAAUCUAGAGAAACCCUGAAGUCGCCACGAGCGUCUCGUUGUCGACGGGCACAUCGUCUUCCACUGAAAGCACAAAGCCGUUAGAAUCUUAAAAAAUUCACUUCAACAAGUAGUCGAACUUAGGACCUCAUGUGCUACUAAGGCUUUAUGUAACCAGUAGGCUACAGGCCCGUUCGCAA